CGUUGAAAAGCCCCGGGAUGACUUGUGGAUAGGGGUGAAAGGCCAAUCAAACUUCGUGAUAGCUGGUUCUCUCCGAAAUAUAUUUAGGUAUAGCGUUGUGUCGUAAUAUAAGGGGGUAGAGCACUGAAUGGGCUAGGGCAUACACCAAUGUACCAAACCCUAUCAAACUCCGAAUACCUUAUAUGUAAUCACAGCAGUCAGGCGGCGAGUGAUAAAAUCCGUCGUCAAGAGGGAAACAACCCAGACUACCAGCUAAGGUCCCUAAAUCUUACUUAAGUGGAAAACGAUGUGAAGUUACUUAAACAACCAGGAGGUUGGCUUAGAAGCAGCCAUCCUUUAAAGAAAGCGUAAUAGCUCACUGGUCUAGUGAUUUUGCGCGGAAAAUAUAACGGGGCUAAAGUAAGUACCGAAGCUGUAGACUUGCACACAACUUAGAUUAUUUAAGUUUAGAAUAUGAGAAACUAAGUUAUAUGUUUAGUUAUAUUUUUACUGAUUUUUAUAGAGUAAAGAUAGAAAUAAAACUUAGUAAAAUCAGUAAAAAUAUUCUUAGACUAAAGUUAAGUAGUUUAAGUUGUGUGCAAGUGGUAGGAGAGCGUUCUAUUUGCGUCGAAGGUAUACCGGUAAGGAGUGCUGGAGCGAAUAGAAGUGAGCAUGCAGGCAUGAGUAGCGAUAAUUAAUGUGAGAAUCAUUAACGCCGUAAACCCAAGGUUUCCUACGCGAUGCUCGUCAUCGUAGGGUUAGUCGGGUCCUAAGUCGAGUCCGAAAGGGGUAGACGAUGGCAAAUUGGUUAAUAUUCCAAUACCAACAUUAGUGUGCGAUGGAAGGACGCUUAGGGCUAAGGGGGCUAGCGGAUGGAAGUGCUAGUCUAAGGUCGUAGGAGGUUAUACAGGCAAAUCCGUAUAACAAUACUCCGAGAACUGAAAGGCUUUUUGAAGUCUUCGGAUGGAUAGAAGAACCCCUGAUGCCGUCGAGCCAAGAAAAGUUUCUAAGUUUAGCUAAUGUUGCCCGUACCGUAAACCGACACAGGUGGGUGGGAUGAGUAUUCUAAGGCGCGUGGAAGAACUCUCUUUAAGGAACUCUGCAAAAUAGCACCGUAUCUUCGGUAUAAGGUGUGGUUAGCUUUGUAUUAGGAUUUACUCCGAAAGCAAGGAAACUUACAACAAAGAGUCCCUCCCGACUGUUUACCAAAAACACAGCACUCUGCUAACUCGUAAGAGGAUGUAUAGGGUGUGACGCCUGCCCGGUGCUCGAAGGUUAAUUGAUGGGGUUAGCAUUAGCGAAGCUCUUGAUCGAAGCCCGAGUAAACGGCGGCCGUAACUAUAACGGUCCUAAGGUAGCGAAAUUCCUUGUCGGUUAAAUACCGACCUGCAUGAAUGGCGUAACGAGAUGGGAGCUGUCUCAAAGAGGGAUCCAGUGAAAUUGUAGUGGAGGUGAAAAUUCCUCCUACCCGCGGCAAGACGGAAAGACCCCGUGGACCUUUACUACAGCUUGACACUGCUACUUGGAUAAGAAUGUGCAGGAUAGGUGGGAGGCUUUGAGUAUAUGACGCCAGUUGUAUAUGAGCCAUUGUUGAGAUACCACUCUUUCUUAUUUGGGUAGCUAACCAGCUUGAGUUAUCCUCAAGUGGGACAAUGUCUGGUGGGUAGUUUGACUGGGGCGGUCGCCUCCCAAAUAAUAACGGAGGCUUACAAAGGUUGGCUCAGAACGGUUGGAAAUCGUUCGUAGAGUAUAAAGGUAUAAGCCAGCUUAACUGCAAGACAUACAAGUCAAGCAGAGACGAAAGUCGGUCUUAGUGAUCCGGUGGUUCUGUGUGGAAGGGCCAUCGCUCAAAGGAUAAAAGGUACCCCGGGGAUAACAGGCUGAUCUCCCCCAAGAGCUCACAUCGACGGGGAGGUUUGGCACCUCGAUGUCGGCUCAUCGCAUCCUGGGGCUGGAGCAGGUCCCAAGGGUAUGGCUGUUCGCCAUUUAAAGCGGUACGCGAGCUGGGUUCAGAACGUCGUGAGACAGUUCGGUCCCUAUCUGCCGUGGGCGUAAGAAGAUUGAAGAGAUUUGACCCUAGUACGAGAGGACCGGGUUGAACAAACCACUGGUGUAGCUGUUGUUCUGCCAAGAGCAUCGCAGCGUAGCUAAGUUUGGAAAGGAUAAACGCUGAAAGCAUCUAAGCGUGAAGCCAACUCUAAGAUGAAUCUUCUCUAAGCUCUCUAGAAGACUACUAGUUUGAUAGGCUGGGUGUGUAAUGGAUGAAAGUCCUUUAGCUGACCAGUACUAAUAGAGCGUUUGGCUUAUCUUUAAUAAAGCAU
rnacentral:rRNA from 1 species